AGCGAACGCUGGCGGCAGGCUUAACACAUGCAAGUCGAGCGGGCACUUCGGUCUCAGCGGCAGACGGGUGAGUAACACGUUGGAACGUACCCUUUGGUUCGGAAUAACGCUGGGAAACUAGCGCUAAUACCGGAUACGCUCUUUUGUGCAAAGGCUUGCUGCCGAAGGAUCGGCCUGCGUCUGCUUAGCUAGUUGUUGGGGUAAUGGCCUACCACUGCGAGGAUCAGUAGCUGGUCUGAGAGGAUGAUCAGCCACACUGGGACUGAGACACGGCCCAGACUCCUACGGGAGGCAGCAGUGGGGAAUAUUGGACAAGGGGCGCAAGGAUGAUCCAGCCAUGCCGGGUGAGUGAUGAAGGCCUUAGGGUUGUAAAGCUCUUUUGUCCGGGACGAUAAUGACGGUACCGGAAGAAUAAGCCCCGGCUAACUUCGUG
rnacentral:rRNA from 1 species